GUUCAUCUGCUCGCAACUGUUAUAUCCAUGUGACUGUCUUUAGCACUCGAAUAUUUAUGCUUGCAAAAAUAUAUAUGUUAUUAUUGACUAUUUUACUGUUUAAAGUGGUGUAUAAAGUAUUUGAUAUUUCAGGAUUCCAAUAUUUGGGAUUAUGGAGUUUGGAGUGAUAUCUUCCAGGAUUAUGGCCCAAACUUGGUGUAAAGGGAUUGAGAGAGUAACAUCCCGAGAGCAGUGGUCCCCAGUUCAAACUCAUUAAUUCACUCAUUCAACAAAUGCUUACCUAUCUUAAGAAAGAGACAGGCCCUGAGAGUUGAAGCAGAGAGCAAGGUAGGUACACGCCCUGAUUGCUUGGAACAUACAACUUGUGGGGAGACCAACAUCAACCCAUCAACCCCAGGUGUAAAUGUAAAA
rnacentral:lncRNA from 1 species